UGUGGCCACUAGAUCCCAGGACCCUGUUGCUAGGCACAGCUGUCAGCUGACUGCAGGGAAGGCCAAUGGUGGGCAGGGAAGGUGGCUCCGCACUCAGGGCCAGAGCCUACCCACCAGCACAGAGCUCCGUGGCCAUGGAGCAUCCCACCCAGAGGCUGUCCCUGCCCACACGGAGCCAUCUGACCAGCUCUCCCCACAGGGGGUGAGGGAGAUGGAGGCUCAGCCAUGGCUGGCAGUGCCCUGCAGACCAAUCUACCCCAACACACCUCCACCCCCACUGAAGCCUUCCUCAUGACACCCCCAGGCCUCCCACCCUCAGGUCUAGCC
rnacentral:lncRNA from 1 species